GAUUUACCAUAACUUUCAUAAGCUGUUUAGUUGUCGAAAUUAGGUCAAAUUGUAUAAAAGCUCGUGCCCACUCUACUGGUUUCAUGCGUAUUUGAAAUGUCCCAUUAUUCAUGUUACUCCUUCCACAGAGUCGUCCGUCGUAGUAUCAACAAAAUAUUGUCGACACUGGUCUAUUUCGUCAGGAAAAUUUUCGUCUAAAAAUUUCUUCGCCAUGGUAGAAUUUACGUACUUUAACUUCUGAUAUUCGUUCGACUGUCUAAAAACUUUUGAAACUGCGUACGUUAUCUGAAAAUAAUCCACCUGCCUAUUUAGGGUGUGGUGGCGUGGUGAAGUAUGUUUAACUUAAACUUAUAUUAUCAACAGCUCUAUGUCCGUUAGGAUAAAUUUAAGGGAUGGAAGUUACUUGCACUAAGCUUGCCAUGUACACAUCUGUAAUGUCGAGACACAAGUUCCUGUAUUUUUUAUUAUAUGCAAUUUGGUUAUCAAUAUAUAUUUAGGUACGUAAAAGUCAAGUUGCACAUAACUGAACGGACAAUGAUUGCACAACCUCCUAUGCAUACAUACACCGUUCAUGAUCUGAAGUUCAUGAUGAUGAUUACAUACAUACAUACUUGCUAGUUCAUGGGAGUUGAAUCAUUUUGAUGUGAACAAAACAACGCAUCAAGUGAGAGAGACAUAUUGAAACACGUGCGUGACGUAUUUAUCAUGAAGUAUUUUUAUUACAUCAAUCAUUUUUAGAAGUGCUGAGUAAAUUUUUAUGAUAAAUUAUGAAUGACUAAUUAGUCAGUGAUCAAUAGUGAUCAUGAGAUAAAAUGAGCCUCAAAAUCUCAACACUUGACUUUAAAAUGUGUGUUGUAUGCAUAUGCAUGUAUUAGUCAUUAAGUUACAACCAACAUAUUUUAUUCUUAUAAAACUACUGUUCCAAAAUGUGUUUUUAUCGUUAAAACAAAAUUUCCUUGCACAUUCGUUACCUAUUUAUGUUGCAUUUUCUCAUUAUUUUCCUGUAUAAAAGAAUAAAUUACUAGUGGAAAUUACACUUAAAAUCAA